rnacentral:lncRNA from 1 species
ACAGAGAAACCCUGUCUCGAAAAACAAACAAACAAACAAACAAAAAAAAAGUUAGGUGUGGAACAAAGGAAAGGUCUUAGUUAUUGGUAACUACAUUGGGACCCCCAAUGUUAGCUGCAAGUUACCUGCUGUGACUAGGCGGCAUCCUUUGAGAAAAGGGUAGAAUAAAGGAUGGCACCUCACCUCUUGAGUCUGGUUCUGCUUCCUGCUUGUUAUUACAAGUUAUUUAAUGUCUCUACCCGCCCGUUUUUCUCAUUCCUAGCUUCUUCCACUUAAAGAGUUAAAUGUCCUGCUUUGUUAGUCACUACCUUGAUACAGGGUCUCUCACUGAGCCGGUAGCUGUGCUGGUAACAAGUCUGAGAAGUCCAUUUCUCUGCUUUCUCUCUCCUGUUCCCAGUGCUGCCAUUAUAGGUACUGAUGAGGCCAUACCCAGCUUUUUUUUUUAAAGAUUUAUUAUUAUAUCUAAGUACACUGUAGCUGUCUUCAGAUGCACCAGAAGAGGACGUCAGAUCUCAUUACGGAUGGUUGUGAGCCACCAUGUGGUUGCUGGGAUUUGAACUCAGGACCUUCGGAAGAGCAGUCGGUGCUCUUAACCACUGAGCCAUCUCUCCAGCCCCAUACCCAGCUUUUUAAAACUUUGGUGCAGGGUUUUGAACUUGGGUCCUCAUAUUUGCUGAGCUAUCUUUCAUGCCUUCUGUUUUCUCUUUCAGCUGUCUUUUAAGCUUGACCCUGUCUUAUAAAAAAUAUCCAUGUGGCAUGUGCUCAGCUUUGUUUGACCUUCAGUUACAGAGAGUAGGAACAGGAUCAGAGACUAUCAAAGCAACUCAUUUCUUUCAGGACAUUCACACAUAUGUCCUAUUAGUAAACUGUAAGUCCAAAUGAGGUAAUUAUUUUUCCGAGUUUAGUGGCUCGUGGCUACCUUAGAAUUUGAAGAUUAAGUCUGCACUCCUCCCCAACUGGUAUAAUUCCAGAAGUAAACAGACUGAAAAAGCAACCUUAAUUCUAGAAAGCUGUUCAUAUAAAAUUUGCUACCACAAAUGAGUGCUUUUGUGGAAAACCAACACAGAUAGCCAAAGUAAUUGUCUUUAAGGAACUUAGUGAGUUUGAAGAUGAGUUUUUCUUCAGGGAGCUGAAGACUUGGCUCAGUGUUAAGAGCACUUGUUGCUCUUGGAGAUGACUGGCACUGACAGCCAUGUGUAACUCAGUUUCAGGGGACUGACCUUCAGCGGCCCCAGCAGCGCACAUGUGUACAGACAUAAAAUCACUAUUUCAAGUUUGUCUUGAAAGACAGAACAGUGACUGAUAAUUUCUAAAGUCACGUGUACGUGAUUGAGGCAACUUGCCCCCAAAGCCCUUCUGCUUUACAUGUUUGGGUAGUAUGUAGGU